rnacentral:rRNA from 1 species
UACGUAGGGGGCGAGCGUUGUCCGGAGUUACUGGGCGUAAAGCGCACGCAGGCGGUCUGCUAAGUUUGGAGUGACAGUUGGUGGCUUAACUGCCAAAGUGCUUCGAAAACUGACAGACUUGAGGGCUUCAGAGGGACACGGAAUUCCGGGUGGAGUGGUGAAAUGCGUAGAGAUCCGGAGGAACACCAAAGGCGAAGGCAGUGUCCUGGGGAGUACCUGACGCUCAGGUGCGAAAGCCAGGGGAGCGUACGGG